rnacentral:lncRNA from 10 species
AUUUUAGAACUCAAGUAGUUUGUAAUGUAUUUUAAUUUUGAGCUUUGUUCUCUACCACCAACCAAUAUUAGCAAAGGAAAAGAUUUUUAAAUAGCAGAACAAUAUUCAGAAAUAUGGCAGAAGGUUGCUAGAAGCUGACAUUUCACUUACCUAUUUAUUAUUAACAUUAUUUUGUCUUCAAAAAUCCUGGAAUAUCGAGGAGAACCUCUUCCAAGUGGUGGCAAAGAAUUCCAAGCUGCUCCUUUUUUAUAGUACUGUAUUUUAAUAGAUGGGGGAAUAGGGUUAUAGUACAUUCUGUUAGAGUAAGGGAAUAUUGAGAAUUACAACUGGCUUUUUAUGUGCUGUAAACUAGAAAUACCUCUCAUGACUCAGUUCAUUAGCCAGCAUGAGUUACAUAACCCCAUUUGACUGUAAGCAGAAUAAAAUAAUCUGUGGCUCUGGAAGGAAGAGGAGAAUGGGAAAAUACUGAUCAUCACUUGAGAGAUUUAUGAUGAUGGUUAGGCAUGUGAACAGGAGCUUAGCAUUGAGCCAAAGGAGAAAGCAAAUUAAAGAGGUUACGAAAAUGAAAUAAUGCAGUGAAGCCAGCUUUUAAGAUUUAUUUAGUGUUUGUGUUGUACUAGUGUGAGUUGUAUUGGGAUAAAGAAGCAGUCUUAUAAUGUGGAAAAGUGAUUUUAGCUUUUCCUGGAUGAUAUGCAUUGAGUUGUGGCACUAGACAACAGAAGGCUCAGCUGGAUUACACAUGAAGAAAUUCAGGGACAGCAGCUAAGUAAUGUGCUCAAGGUUAAACAAUUAGUGUGGAGUUGAAUCAGAAUUUGAACUUAGGUG